GACGAACGCUGGCGGCGUGCUUAACACAUGCAAGUCGAACGAUGAAGCUGGAGCUUGCUCCGGUGGAUUAGUGGCGAACGGGUGAGUAACACGUGAGAAAUCUGCCCUUGACUCUGGGAUAACUGCGGGAAACUGUAGCUAAUACCGGAUAUUUUCCUUGGUGGGCAUCCACUGGGGAAGAAAGAAUUUCGGUCAAGGAUGAUCUCGCGGCCUAUCAGCUAGUUGGUGAGGUAAUGGCUCACCAAGGCGACGACGGGUAGCCGGCCUGGGAGGGUGGACGGCCACACUGGGACUGAGACACGGCCCAGACUCCUACGGGAGGCAGCAGUGGGGAAUAUUGCACAAUGGGCGCAAGCCUGAUGCAGCAACGCCGCGUGAGGGAUGAAGGCCUUCGGGUUGUAAACCUCUUUUAGCAGGGAAGAAGCGAAAGUGACGGUACCUGCAGAAAAAGCACCGGCUAACUACGUGCCAGCCGCCGCGGUAA
rnacentral:rRNA from 1 species